CACAAUACCCAAAAACCUUAAUAGUUGAAUAAUAAAAAUAAUGGAAAAGUCCCCUUCUAGGAAUUCAAUCCAAUGCACGCGCGUUCAUCUUUCAUUUUCCCCCAAAUUGCUUUAGCCAUUUUUGUGUUCCUUCUUAGAUGCAAACCCUUCCGUUUCACUUUCAUUAUCAAAUUUUCCCGUCAAAUGGAAAUAUUUCACCGAAUUUCGUCCUAUCAAUCAGCACUUCUCUACUCUUCUCACCUCGUUGCAUCCAUCAUCACUGUUCUCUCAUCACCCAGAAAACCCUAAUCUUUUUCCUUGCCAUUCAAAAUCAAGACAUAGAAUAGCUGAGGAGUAGAAUCCUUAGUCAAUCAAAGUUGAAAAUUCAGGCUGGGUUUUAGUGUUAGUGAUUUCAGUGUCUUGUUGAAAAUUUCAGAAUUUUCUUGUAGAAAAUCUGGAGUCUUUGCAAUUUGGAAAAUUUCAGUUGUAUUUGUAUUGGCAGGUGCAGGGAAGAAAAAAAAGAAAAGGAUCUCGACUGCUGCUUUGAGUGCUCUCCCAAAUCUCUCUCCUCACUUUCAGACGAAAGUCACGAAAUUCGUCCAGAAAUUUCUCCAGGUUAUGAUGGCUCCGAUUAGGAAGUAUCCUUCUGGGGUUAAAAAAAGAAAAGAGAAGCAAAAGAGAGAGGCAUUGGUUAAGCUUCAAGCCGGAUGUACUUCAACGCAAAUGCUGAACAAGUACAAGAGAAUGAGAAUGAGAAUGAUAAUGUGAAUGAGAGUACAGAAGAGAUUUUUAUUUAUUUAUUUUUUUUUUUAUAAAAUAUAUUUAAAGGUAGGGAGUCCCCAUUUUUUUUUCCGCCUAGAGCCCCGGAAAUCCCAGGGCCGGCUCUGCCCUAUAGUAGAUUAGCUGGGUCAGAUCUAACACUUACAAGCGAGGUAUCUGAUAGUAUGUUCUUGCUUAUGUGAACCUGGGAAGAAGUUCUCAGAUACUAUGGAGUUUCCUACCUAAUUGAUUUUUUCCUGUGUUUUUCUUUGAAGUUUGCAGGCAUUUGAGCAAUUAUGGUUCCAGGUAACCCUUCUUCUCCAUGUAACUAAUUUAGUUUCCCAAAUUGCACAGUUUUUCCUUUUUCAUGUCGAUGGGCUAAUGUAUGUAUAAUCUAUAUUUUCAAUACGUUUUCUAUGGCUAUUGUAACUCCUUAAUUGUAUUAUUUUGGUUAGAGUUUAGUGAUUGAUGCUAUUAUAAUUGUACUUUUUCAGUUUUCUGUGUGGUGAUUUAGCAUUCCUUCUUUGGCUUUUUUUGUUCCUGAACAGGGUAGUGGUAAAAAAUUCUGGUGAGGAAGAAAACAAGGAAAAGACAGUGGUUAUGCAAAGGGAUAAUGCCAUUAGCCAGCAAAGGAUUUCUACCCACCCUGAAAAUAUUGGCAGCUUGCAUGGUUUGGUGAGAAAAAUAUGAGCAGCAUUGGGUAUAGAAGGAUGCUAUUCACAUAGAUAUUUCAAAGAUAACUUGGAUGUAGUGCAGCCGUGAGGAAAUUGAUGUAGAUAGGAACUUACUAGGAAUUUUGUAUUUGGUAUCAUUCAAACAGCACUUUGGUCAAUAAUAUAUAAUUUUGGUUGGUAUAUGGCAUUCAUAGAUCAUUGGUUGCCAAUAUUUUUUUUUUUUGGGUUUCAUAUGGAAGUUUUGAGGACGUUUUUUCAUAUA